CCUACGGGAGGCAGCAGUAGGGAAUAUUGCUCAAUGGGGGAAACCCUGAAGCAGCAACGCCGCGUGGAGGAUGAAGGUUUUCGGAUUGUAAACUCCUUUUGUUAGAGAAGAUAAUGACGGUAUCUAACGAAUAAGCACCGGCUAACUCCGUGCCAGCAGCCGCGGUCAUACGGAGGGUGCCAGCGUUACUCGGAAUCACUGGGCGUAAAGAGCGCGUAGGCGGGAUAGCAAGUCAGAUGUUAAAUCCUAUGGCUUAACCAUAGAACUGCAUUUGAAACUGGUAUUCUAGAGUAUGGGAGAGGUAGGUGGAAUUCUUGGUGUAGGGGUAAAAUCCGUAGAGAUCAAGAGGAAUACGCAUUGCGAAGGCGACCUGCUAGAACAUAACUGACGCUGAUGCGCGAAAGCGUGGGGAGCAAACAGGAUUAGAUACCCGAGUAGUC
rnacentral:rRNA from 1 species